UACGAAGGGGGCUAGCGUUGCUCGGAAUCACUGGGCGUAAAGCGCACGUAGGCGGAUUUUUAAGUCAGGGGUGAAAUCCUGGAGCUCAACUCCAGAACUGCCUUUGAUACUGGGAAUCUCGAGUCCGGAAGAGGUGAGUGGAACUGCGAGUGUAGAGGUGAAAUUCGUAGAUAUUCGCAAGAACACCAGUGGCGAAGGCGGCUCACUGGUCCGGUACUGACGCUGAGGUGCGAAAGCGUGGGGAGCGAACAGG
rnacentral:rRNA from 1 species